UAGGGAAUAUUGGGCAAUGGGGGGAACCCUGACCCAGCAACGCCGCGUGAAGGAAGAAGGCAUUCGUGUUGUAAACUUCUUUGACCGGGGACGAAAGAAAUGACGGUACCCGGAAAACAAGCCACGGCUAACUACGUGCCAGCAGCCGCGGUAAUACGUAGGUGGCGAGCGUUGUCCGGAUUUACUGGGUGUAAAGGGCGCGUAGGCGGGAGGACAAGUCUGGCGUGAAAUGUAGGGGCUCAACCCCUGAACUGCGUUGGAAACUGUACUUCUUGAGUGAUGGAGAGGCAGGCGGAAUUCCUAGUGUAGCGGUGAAAUGCGUAGAUAUUAGGAGGAACACCAGUGGCGAAGGCGGCCUGCUGGACAUUAACUGACGCUGAGGCGCGAAAGCGUGGGGAGCAAACAGGAUUAGAUACCCUGGUAGUCCACGCUGUAAACGAUGAAUACUAGGUGUGGGGG
rnacentral:rRNA from 1 species